GACGAACGCUGGCGGCGUGCUUAACACAUGCAAGUCGAACGGAAAGGCCCUGCUUUUGUGGGGUGCUCGAGUGGCGAACGGGUGAGUAACACGUGAGUAACCUGCCCUUGACUUUGGGAUAACUUCAGGAAACUGGGGCUAAUACCGGAUAGGAGCUCCUGCUGCAUGGUGGGGGUUGGAACGUUUCGGCGGUUGGGGAUGUACUCGCGGCUUAUCAGCUUGUUGGUGGGGUAGUGGCUUACCAAGGCUUUGACGGGUAGCCGGCCUGAGAGGGUGACCGGCCACAUUGGGACUGAGAUACGGCCCAGACUCCUACGGGAGGCAGCAGUGGGGAAUAUUGCACAAUGGGCGGAAGCCUGAUGCAGCAACGCAGCGUGCGGGAUGACGGCCUUCGGGUUGUAAACCGCUUUCGCCUGUGACGAAGCGUGAGUGACGGUAAUGGGUAAAGAAGCACCGGCUAACUACGUG
rnacentral:rRNA from 1 species